UAAUCGAACUCGGAGAUAGCUGGUUCUCCUCGAAAUGCAUCUAGGUGCGGCCUCACGUGUUUUCCAGUGGGGGUAGAGCUCUGAUAGGGCUAGGGGGCAUAGCGCUUACCAAACCCUGUCAAACUGCGAAUACCAUUGGAUAAGAACGUGGGAGUGAGACUGCGGGUACUAAGAUCCGUAGUCAAAAGGGAAACAACCCAGACCCACAACUAAGGUCCCUAAGUCCAUGCUCAGUGUCAAAGGAUGUCUGGUCGCAGAGACAGCCAGGAUGUUGGCUUAGAAGCAGCCACCAUUGAAAGAGUGCGUAACAGCUCACUGGUCGAGUGGCCGGGCGCCGACAAUGUAUCGGGGCUCAAGCAUGGCACCGAAGUUUGGGGAUCGCGCAAGCGAUCGGUAGAGGAGCGUUCUGUUCGCAGUGAAGCCGGACGGGUGACCGCUGGUGGGGCGUGCAGAAGUGAGAAUGUCGGCAUGAGUAGCGUAAUUCAGGUGAGAAACCUGGACGCCGUAAGCCUGAGGGUUUCUACGCAAGGUUAUUCCGCGUAGAGUUAGGCGGGCCUAAGCCGAGGGCGAGAGCCGUAGGCGAUGGACAGCAGGUUAGUAUUCCUGCCCCGCUGCGGCAGCGUUUGAGAUGAGAGGCGUGACCCGGGAGGAUAGGUAGAGCGGACCCUGUGGACAUGGUCCGUCCUGCACCGUAGGCGUCUGGCGAUAGGCAAAUCCGUCGCCAGGUUAAGCGGAGGGUGCAAGGAAAGCUGGAGCUACGGCAAUAGCGAUUCUGCUGAUUCCAUGCCGGCUAGAAAAGCGUCGUCAUCGAGCUGUUGUGGCGCCCGUACCGCAAACCGACUCUGGUGGGCGACGGUAAGUACCGUCAGGCGUUCGAGAGAACCCUCGUUAAGGAACUCUGCAAUUUGGCUCCGUAACUUCGGGAGAAGGAGCGCCCUUGGAGGUGACGGGCAUACGCCCUGAGCGUCCGGGGGCCGCAGCGAGCCGGCCCAGGCGACUGUUUAACAAAAACACAGGUCUCUGCCAACUCGUAAGAGGAUGUAUAGGGGCUGACACCUGCCCAGUGCCGGAAGGUUAAAGGGAGAGCUGCAAGGCUUGAACUGAAGCCCCGGUGAACGGCGGCCGUAACUAUAACGGUCCUAAGGUAGCGAAAUUCCUUGUCGGGUAAGUUCCGACCCGCACGAAUGGUGUAACGAUCUGGGCGCUGUCUCGACGAGGGACUCGGCGAAAUUGAGCUGGCCGUGAAGACGCGGCCUACCCGCAGCAGGACAAAAAGACCCCGUGGAGCUUUACUGCAUCUUGACGCUGGCGUCCGUACCAGAAUGCGUAGGAUAGGUGGGAGCCUAUGAUCCGGCCCUCUCGGGGGUCGGUGAGGCAACGGUGAAAUACCACUCUUUCUGGUUUGUACUCCUAACUCCUGAGCAAGCAGGAGGACAGCGUCUGGUGGGCAGUUUGACUGGGGCGGUCGCCUCCCUAAAAAAG
rnacentral:rRNA from 1 species